rnacentral:lncRNA from 1 species
UUUCUCUUUCCCUGAGAUGAUCUCAGUCUCAAAUGUUGCAGUCCCAGCUUCAGAAUUAUUACCAAACAAAUGCUCCCUCUGCCUUCGCCCGGAACCAAGAACCGCGUCUUACCUCACGCAAGGUGGCAGGGAGCGCUACCUCAACACCGUCAAUAGUGAUACCUCUUUGUUUCCUUGCUUCAUGCUCUAGGGUAGAAGCUCAGACCUGAAGCAACCAGACCAGAUGCUGUCCACUGAAUUUGGAGACCCUGUGCAUUCAGGGGAGCUGGACGUCACAAUAUAGUAUAUUAUGGGCCACUCUACCAGCUAAAACUACCAAUCUUUUUCUUGUCUUUUACCUGGGUCUGAAAAUUAUUUCCUCUUUGGUCUGGUUUCUUUACCUGCCUGUCUGGAGAUCGUCAUCUAGGAAAUCCUGCUAAACCACUUUGAAGAUGCCAAAGUAUAGUACAACAACCAUUGAUGAUUUCCUACCACUUUUGGCUGUAUCUCACUAUUAUUUGUCUAUUUGUUUUCCUGAGAAACUAUCUUGAAGAUACCAACAGAAUUUUUGCCGCACUUCGAUGGAGCAAGCUUUCUGUCAGCUAUUCAGUCAUUCUAGACUGUGUUUUCAUCACCAUUUGCAGCCAGUUUGGAAGUUGCUGCCCUCUGCAUCUGUGGUUUAAAUUCAAUUUAGAUUCAAACAAGUUAAUGAGUAAAUGGUGCAUAUUGCCAUAGUUUUGGAGUGCAAGAUUUCUUACUGAAUUACUUCAUAAGUAUAUAUGUUCGUAUCAGAGAUUUCUUCUCCAUUAAAAUUAACCUAGA